UCGAGCAUGACUUCCCCUUGAUGAACCCAUACUGACUACUCCUGAUAACCUCCACGUGAGGACCUUGGAAAUUGUAUUCCAGGCUCUGUGGCUCCUCCAGAGCUCCUGAAUGAAGGCUGGGGUAUAGAUAACUCAGGAAUGGGAAGAAAACUGUCCAAGGAGCGUCUUUAAGCACGUACAAUUCAGUCACAUAUAGCCAGUAUGAAGGUGGGACAUGCUUAGUGAAGAGACACUGCCUGAGGAUUUCAGCUAUUAAAUUCCAGCACGUCUUUGUGAGAUUGAAGCAUAUGGGGUUUAACAGCUACACUAGCAACAACACAUCCAUUCUGCACAUAUGGCACAAUGAUGUGAGCAGCACAGAGCUAGGACACUACAAGGAAGAUGAAGAGUGGUUUCAUUUAAUCAUGAUCACAUAAAGACAUGAACAGCAGGACUGAAAUGUUUGGGUAGAAACGUCAGUGGGAAGGCUGUAUCCUUGCUAGUUCUCACUACAUUAAACAGAGAAUGAGGAGAAAAACCACUGUUGGACUUUUUGGGGAUGCUGAACUCCCACUCUUGAAAGACGAGAAAAAAACAGAGAAGAGAAUGCAACACAUUACAAUUACUUCUUUACCUAGAUGCUGAAUUGAGGCCUGCAGUUUUGCAAUGUGAAAUUUUUUCUUCUACACUAAUAUCUGUAAACAAGAAGACUGGAUGGCCUUUACUUGAUGAAAGACCACAUUUGUAAGAAUGAAUGUUUUUGAAUAGGAAAUAGUCAAGAAAAUUCCUCUAGCUCCAGAACCGAGUCAGAGAGAAGUGAUAUAGACUUUCUGCAGAAACAGAAAGGUACUUUGUGGAAAGAGAGUGCCUAAUUUCCCAAUUUACUUCUAAUCUAUUGACCAAGUUUAAGGAAAUCAUGCAGUGUGAAAUGUCAGAUGAUUCUGCUCUCUUGUCCUAUGCAAGAGCAAGUUCUUCAAAUGAAGCCAUUCAAAACUUAGUUCAAAUGUAAUAAAAAUUGGUUAUUCAUUAUCCAGAUAAAGUUCUGGAUGUUUAAAAUGUGCAUAUGUGUAAGGGAAAUAAAUGAAAUAAUGGUUAUUUUGCCAGUAUCUCCUUUGCAGCUGGUGGAAUGUAAUGAACUGAGUAUCCUUAAAAACCUAAGUGAUGCAAAAUAUACUUGUACUGAUUUAUUUACAUGUUCUUGUCCAGGCACCUAUGUGCAAAGGAAAAUUAUGUGGUUUAUUUAAAGUGGUCUAGAAAAAUUUUAAAAAGACUGAUAACUUACAAAAGAAAUUUCAAGUUUUCUCCAGUUUUAUCUCACAAAACAGAGGGUUGUCAGUAUAAAGGUGGUUAAGGUCAGUUCAUACUGAUUAAUUACCAAAUGUUUGUUUUCCUGCUCAUAGAAGAAGGAAAUUAUGUCUGCUGGUUUUGGCAAGUCAUGCCACUUCAGAACAGGUUUUACUUUCUUUCUAGAAAUUCAUUCCAUCCCUAAUGAGUUAUUAAUCAGAAAUUAGUGGACUACUAUAAGUCUGUGGGAGAUGAGAUGAAGACCGGUGGAGAUACCUUUCAUCCCAUUUUCCUUCUUUUAUGGGGCCUCAGCUUCUUUUAUAACAGUACACUAUUUAAUAGCCACUGCUGCUUUAGCCUCUAAGUUCAAAAGACCUAUAAAUUUCUUGACUCUGCUUAUCUGUCAUGGAGCAGGAGUGCUACAAUAAAAUAUGGUAAUAAAUUAAUGAUCAAUAAUAGCUGACAAGGUUCCUUCUUGAUCUGCCCUGUGAGACAGCCUGAGCAGCUGGGCCAUGGGAGGGCUUGUGCUUUGUUUCAGGGGAUUACAAGGCAAAGCUGAUGUUUCUGGGUUCUGUCCUAAACUGAUACUGCAGAUAAAUUUUUCAUGGCACAAACUGUUAUUUCACAGCCUUAACUUCUCAGCAGCUGAACUCAAAGGAGAAAACCUAGAGAGGUGAGAACUUCUAUUAUUAUUAUUAUUUUUUCACAGUGGGUUGUUAACUUUGGAAUUUGGUUACAACUGCUUGAGCACCAAAACUAUUCAUAGCUGCCACUAUUAUUACUGUAAUUAACAUAACUUUUAGCCAAUCUGCAGCCAGUUAACAGGUUUUUAUUAGUGAUGGGAUAUGUUUCCUUAGGAGGAAAUGAAGAGACAUUUCAGCACAUUCUCUUUUAAUCUUCCCCAGAUGUAGAACAGUUUAAUGAUUUCUGUUUAUCUUUCAGCUUCCAACUAUCUUCUGUUUUGUAUAUAGACACAGAAGGUGUCCACUCCUGAUCAUGGUUGACAUUUGGAAUUUGAUGUUACUGGUGUGAAUUAAAGGCUCUGUUUGUGCGCUCAAGAAAGAGCACAUUGUAUUACUUGCCUACCUGCUUCUCACUCCCAGGACUGUCUCAAACUCUGCCAAAGAUGCUGGGAAUAGUUGACAGUAUAAUGUUCCAGAAAUAGCAUGAAUACCCAACACUUUGCAUAUAUUAACUAGAAUCAUUCUGAUACAUCUAAUUGCUUUGUAUUAAGUGCUCUAUAUAAAGUAACGUGACAGUUAUCUGUCAUGUAUAUUUACUUCCUCUUUGUUUGAUUUGUCUAAUCUUUAGUAAAUAAACAGCCACAGAGGAGUUUUUCUUCUCUGUUCUCGUGUAGUUGGACAUACUGGAUACUCCAUGAGAUGUAUCUCCGAGCCUUAACUGAAGGAGUGAUAGCUGUGGGAGCAUGAGCUAUUAGGGAAGAGACUACAAGUAACCUGAGCUUCUGGAUUCAUAAUAGGUUUUGCGGCAGAGAAGCGUAGUAUUUUCAGGUUCCCCUACUUGACAGCUACACAGUAGAGUGGAAUUUGUGACUAUGUAUUAGGCAGAGAUUUAAGCCUCAAAACAGGAUUCCCAGACACUUCUGCACUACUUCUAUGCAGAAAGCAGGAACUAUGAGAAAGAAAUGCAGGCAAGAGUUUUUUCUAGACAUCUGCAUCUUAGCUGCUCAUCAUGACUCAAUUUAUAGUCAAUGAAAAGAGGCUGGCACUUCACCUUUUCUGACAGCAAAUGUAUAAAACAGGUCAGCAGGUUUGUCUUAGAAAUGCCUAUUAGUUGAUAAAAGCAGCCUAGCUUUUGGACAUCUACCAAGUGUGGAGACAUCUAAUGACAAGGUGAAUUGCAUUUUCUGCACCGAAAUUAAUUCCUGCCUGACUUAAAGAAGAUUUUGAAUCUAGAAUUCACACUCCAUUGUCCUAUUCUUCCAACAUCCCUCUUGAUACAGAUAAAUGUCCUGUUUUUCAUUUAAAAUAAUGAAGGGUGGGUGUUAUCCACAUUUCAUCUGAGUAAUUCACAACACAUGAGGCUUCAUUUGGGUCCUUUCAGCCUGUUAAGUUUUAAAUCCCUAUUUCCCAAAGUUCUUGAGAGUGAGUAGGCACUCUCUGCAGCUGAUGUUGAUGCUUAGCAUCAGUGGAGAAAAAGAAUGCCAGAUUUAUGAGACUAUGGAGAUUGCAAGUAAGUGAAGAAAUCACUGAAAAGCUAAUAAAAACCAGGAGAUGUCCAUUCAGGUUGUUAGACUCAGCUGAAUGCAGUUCUGAGUAGUAACUAGUGAAUAUUACUGGCAAAAGAUGAAUUGGCUAUAAUUCCUUCGCAAUUAGUGCACUGUGCUGAAUUACCCUGAACUAAAUUUUACCAUUAAGCCUUUGCUUCAGACUUUAAGGUACUGGAAUACAAGGGACUCUUUCCUUUUAUUUGUUUUUAGAUUUAUUUAUAAAGCUAUAUAUAAUAAGAAUUCCAGCUAGUCACUGCAGCACCUGUUGGGAGGAACCUUUCAUUCCUUGGAAAUGAUAAGUCCAUGCACAUUUGAAUUGUCUCAGCAGAUCUCUAGAGUUCCCCUGUGUUUUACUUUAAAAGAAUCUAUAUGGA